rnacentral:rRNA from 1 species
GCAAGUCGAACGAGAAAGUUUCCUUCGGGGAAUGAGUAAAGUGGCGCAAGGGUGAGUAACACGUGAGUAAUCUGCCUUCGAAUCUGGGAUAACUUGACGAAAGUUAAGCUAAUACCGGAUAAGACCACGUUUCACAAGAAAUGCGGUCAAAGGGGUCUCAAACCCCGUUUGAAGAUGAGUUCGCGUACCAUUAGCUUGUUGGUGAGAUAACAGCUCACCAAGGCAACGAUGGUUAGCCGGCCUGAGAGGGUGAUCGGCCACACUGGAACUGAGACACGGUCCAGACUCCUACGGGAGGCAGCAGUGGGGAAUUUUGCGCAAUGGGCGAAAGCCUGACGCAGCAACGCCGCGUGAGCGAUGAAGGCCUUCGGGUCGUAAAGCUCUGUCAAGUGGGAAGAACACAAUGACGGUACCACUAGAGGAAGCCCCGGCUAACUUCGUGCCAGCAGCCGCGGUAAUACGAAGGGGGCAAGCGUUGUUCGGAAUUAUUGGGCGUAAAGCGUGUGUAGGUGGUUGUUCAAGUCAGACGUGUAAGCCCUCGGCUCAACCGAGGAAUUGCGUUUGAAACUGAUCGACUUGAGUACAGGAGAGGAAAGCGGAAUUCCCAGUGUAGCGGUGAUAUGCGUUGA